AAACCGAGUCUUAAUUGGGCGUUAAGUUGCAGGGUAUAGACCCGAAACCCGGUGAUCUAGCCAUGGGCAGGUUGAAGGUUGGGUAACACUAACUGGAGGACCGAACCGACUAAUGUUGAAAAAUUAGCGGAUGACCUGUGGCUGGGGGUGAAAGGCCAAUCAAACCGGGAGAUAGCUGGUUCUCCCCGAAAGCUAUUUAGGUAGCGCCUCGUGAAUUCAUCUCCGGGGGUAGAGCACUGUUUCGGCUAGGGGGCCAUCCCGGCUUACCAACCCGAUGCAAACUGCGAAUACCGGAGAAUGUUAUCACGGGAGACACACGGCGGGUGCUAACGUCCGUCGUGAAGAGGGAAACAACCCAGACCGCCAGCUAAGGUCCCAAAGUCAUGGUUAAGUGGGAAACGAUGUGGGAAGGCCCAGACAGCCAGGAUGUUGGCUUAGAAGCAGCCAUCAUUUAAAGAAAGCGUAAUAGCUCACUGGUCGAGUCGGCCUGCGCGGAAGAUGUAACGGGGCUAAACCAUGCA
rnacentral:rRNA from 1 species